CUGCAGCUAAUUAAGCAGACCAUGCUCCUUUCCUCAUGCGGGUAUGCAAUGGCUGCAAACAGCAGCCUCCUUGGUAGUGUAUGCAGACUGUUGCUUAUAUAGGUUGUUCUAAGGGACCCUGGAGACAUUC